UACGAAGGGGGCUAGCGUUGCUCGGAAUGACUGGCGUAAAGGGCGCGUAGGCGGCUUGCACCGUCAGAUGUGAAAUUCCUGGGCUUAACCUGGGGGCUGCAUUUGAUACGUGUGGGCUUGAGUGCGGAAGAGGAGAGUGGAAUUCCUGGUGUAGCGGUGAAAUGCGCAGAUAUCAGGAAGAACACCCGUGGCGAAGGCGGCUCUCUGGGACGGUACUGACGCUGAGACGCGAAAGCGUGGGGAGCGAACAGG
rnacentral:rRNA from 1 species